UCAUUCUGCUGAAGCGAGUAGCUGUGAUCUCAAGCCCCCACAGGCAGCUCAGAGUGGGAGACUUGCCUGAUAACAGCUGCAUGCAAAGCAAGAUUGUCUGCAU
ensembl:miRNA